rnacentral:rRNA from 1 species
CCUACGGUGGCAGCAGUGGGGAAUAUUGGACAAUGGGCGAAAGCCUGAUCCAGCCAUGCCGCGUGUGUGAAGAAGGCCUUCGGGUUGUAAAGCACUUUCAGUGGGGAAGAAAGCCUUGGGGCUAAUACCCUCGAGGAAGGACAUCACCCACAGAAGAAGCACCGGCUAACUCCGUGCCAGCAGCCGCGGUAAUACGGAGGGUGCGAGCGUUAAUCGGAAUUACUGGGCGUAAAGCGCGCGUAGGCGGUCUGAUAAGCCGGUUGUGAAAGCCCCGGGCUCAAACUGGGAACGGCAUCCGGAACUGUCAGGCUAGAGUGCAGGAGAGGAAGGUAGAAUUCCCGGUGUAGCGGUGAAAUGCGUAGAGAUCGGGAGGAAUACCAGUGGCGAAGGCGGCCUUCUGGACUGACACUGACGCUGAGGUGCGAAAGCGUGGGUAGCAAACAGGAUUAGAUACCCUGGUAGUC